ensembl:lncRNA
GCAUCCGAACACCAUGGAGAAGGCGUUGCGGUUUUGAGCAAAAACUUAGACUCCAGCGCUUGAAACCACAAGCGAAAGAUGUAUAUAAGCUUCGACCAGACGAGUGUUCAGGGUCGCGCCUCGGGUGAAGGUUUUUCGUUUUAGUUUCUUGUGAAGGAAGAAAAACUAUCUGAUCCUGCACGAUCAAAAAAGGGGAUAAUUUUAUGUCUCUUCUUAAAAGAAAACUAUUUUCAGACUCUGCAUAGUCGCUGGUUUUUUCUUUAUUUUAUUUUUCUUUAUAUUCUGAGUUAAGAUCAUUGUAAUUCUUAUUGUUCUUUAAUAAACCGAAGUCCGUUCAAAGGGACGAUUCGUAUAUCUUACUCCGUGAGUAAAAUUGGUUCUCUAGCCCAGCGGCAUGAGACUCCGCCUCUGAGAAGAAGAAGCUACCUCAGAAGAAGACUACGCUCCCUG